ACAGGGAUUGCCCUAGUACGGCGAGUGAAGCGGCAACAGCUCAAAUUUGAAAUCUGGCGUCUUUGGCGUCCGAGUUGUAAUUUGCAGAGGGCGCUUUGGCAUUGGCAGCGGUCCAAGUUCCUUGGAACAGGACGUCACAGAGGGUGAGAAUCCCGUACGUGGUCGCUAGCCUUUACCGUGUAAAGCCCCUUCGACGAGUCGAGUUGUUUGGGAAUGCAGCUCUAAAUGGGAGGUAAAUUUCUUCUAAAGCUAAAUACUGGCCAGAGACCGAUAGCGCACAAGUAGAGUGAUCGAAAGAUGAAAAGCACUUUGGAAAGAGAGUUAAAAAGCACGUGAAAUUGUUGAAAGGGAAGCGCUUGCAGCCAGACUUGCCUGUAGUUGCUCAUCCGGGUUUCUACCCGGUGCACUCUUCUAUAGGCAGGCCAGCAUCAGUUUGGGCGGUUGGAUAAAGGUCUCUGUCAUGUACCUCUCUUCGGGGAGAACUUAUAGGGGAGACGACAUGCAACCAGCCUGGACUGAGGUCCGCGCAUCUGCUAGGAUGCUGGCGUAAUGGCUGUAAGCGGCCCGUCUUGAAACACGGACCAAGGAGUCUAACAUCUAUGCGAGUGUUUGGGUGUCAAGCCCGAGCGCGUAAUGAAAGUGAACGGAGGUGGGAACCUUUCGGGGUGCACCAUCGACCGAUCCUGAUGUCUUCGGAUGGAUUUGAGUAAGAGCAUAGCUGUUGGGACCCGAAAGAUGGUGAACUAUGCUUGAAUAGGGUGAAGCCAGAGGAAACUCUGGUGGAGGCUCGCAGCGGUUCUGACGUGCAAAUCGAUCGUCAAAUUUGGGCAUAGGGGCGAAAGACUAAUCGAAC
rnacentral:rRNA from 1 species